GCAAACCAUCUGCCCUAGUGGUGCCUGGACUCCGAAGUGACAAUAGGUAAAAUGCCCCGUUGCAUCCUAUACAAGCACUGCAAGCAGACAUUAUUAACCCAUUUUAUAGAUGGCAAGACUGAAAGUCAGAGGAGACCAGCUUGGACCAAGGAUCUUCAAGCAGUGAGCAGCCAAGCUGGGAUUUCAGUGCAGAGAAGCUAAAGAGAUGAAGCCAUGGGGGGUAUCCAGGCCAGGCACGCGAGGACAGGACGCAGCACGGGAAGCAGCCGGAACCGCUGUCCCAGCCCACCAGCCUCCCUCGGCCACGUCCCGCGUCACCUCGGAGUCCUGGCAAUUUCAUAAUUGGCCCAAUGGGUUACGAUUCAAAACCGAAAGAGCCAAUUAGCAGGAGUCUCCUCUGACCCCUGGUUUGGGGUGGGAGGAGACGAGGCAAUGACUUGAGACGGAAGGGGGGGAAAAACUAAACUAAAAAUAAAAACAGAAACUAUCAAGAGCA
rnacentral:lncRNA from 1 species